rnacentral:lncRNA from 1 species
AUGAGGGUUGAGUGGGCUGCGCCUCUCCCCCCACUCCGAGACAGAACUCUGGGUCACAAAAGGGCCAGCACCUCAGAACCGACGGGAAGCGAGGAUUUGGGACAUUUCAUCAGAAAGACAGUGCCACACAGAACAUAGACACUGGGACUUAAAAAAAAU